GACGAACGCUGGCGGCGUGCCUAAUACAUGCAAGUCGAACGCAGUGGGGACGGGUGAGUAACACAUGAGUAACCUCCCCUAAGAGAGGAUAACACUUGGAAACAGGUGCUAAACCGAAAUUGCUGGUUGGACGCGGGGUGCAUUCGCUAGUUGGUGAGGUAACGGCUCACCAAGGCACCGAGGCAUAGCCGACUUGGGGGGAGGAUCAGCCACACUGGGACGGAGACACGGCCCAGACUCCUACGGGAGGCAGCAGUAGGGAAUUUUCGGCAAUGGACGAAAGUCUGACCGAGCAACGCCGCGUGAGUGAAGAAGGUUGUCGGAUCGUAAACCUCUGUUGUUAGAAAAGCGGUAUCUAACCAGAAAGCAACGGCUAACUACGUGCCAGCAGCCGCGGUAAUUC
rnacentral:rRNA from 1 species